rfam:Gossypium raimondii Chr02_contig_1479, whole genome shotgun sequence.
UAUUAAAAAAUUAAUCCAUUUCUACUACUAAAAACUGGUAUGGCUAACAGAAUAACCAAAUAGUUACACAUAGUGUCACUUGUACCUUGUACUGAUGUACAUAAAUCAAUUUUCAACAGUAAAAAUAGAUGAAACUUUUAACA